GAUGAACGCUGGCGGCGUGCCUAAUACAUGCAAGUCGAGCGAACGGACGGGAAGCUUGCUUCUCUGAUGUUAGCGGCGGACGGGUGAGUAACACGUGGAUAACCUACCUAUAAGACUGGGAUAACUUCGGGAAACCGGAGCUAAUACCGGAUAAUAUUUUGAACCGCAUGGUUCAAAAGUGAAAGACGGCCUUGCUGUCACUUAUAGAUGGAUCCGCGCUGCAUUAGCUAGUUGGUAAGGUAACGGCUUACCAAGGCAACGAUGCAUAGCCGACCUGAGAGGGUGAUCGGCCACACUGGAACUGAGACACGGUCCAGACUCCUACGGGAGGCAGCAGUAGGGAAUCUUCCGCAAAGGGCGAAAGCCUGACGGAGCAACGCCGCGUGAGUGAUGAAGGUCUUCGGAUCGUAAAACUCUGUUAUUAGGGAAGAACAUAUGUGUAAGUAACUGUGCACAUCUUGACGGUACCUAAUCAGAAAGCCACGGCUAACUACGUG
rnacentral:rRNA from 1 species